GCCAGCAUGGUGCAGUGAUUUGAGUGCUGGACUACAACUCUGGAGACCAGGGUUCAAUUCCCUGAUUUGCCA
rnacentral:tRNA from 1 species